ensembl:lincRNA Kantr Kdm5c adjacent non-coding transcript
AAAGAAACUUGUUCACUGUUCUUGAGGCCAAGAAGUCCAAGACCAAGGUGGCCUCACUUCCAAACACUAUCAGUAUGGAGGAUUAAGUUUCCAACACAUGAACUUCCGGAGGACACAUUCAAACAAUAGUUUGCUUUGAGCAUCUCGUCAUUAAACCAUUGAUCGUUGAGACUUCUUUCAAGUAUGAGGUUUCUAACAUUAAUAUUUUCAAGACUAGGGAUGCAGUUCACUGGUAAAGUGAUAGAGCACCUGCCGGGCAGUCAUAAGGUCCAGGUUCUUUCCAGAGCACUGCAAAAAGGUCCACAUAGAGAGCUUUGAAAUUAUCUUCUACC